GAUGAACGCUGUCGGCGUGCCUAAUACAUGCAAGUCGAGCGAACAGACGAGGAGCUUGCUCCUCUGACGUUAGCGGCGGACGGGUGAGUAACACGUGGAUAACCUACCUAUAAGACUGGGAUAACUUCGGGAAACCGGAGCUAAUACCGGAUAAUAUAUUGAACCGCAUGGUUCAAUAGUGAAAGACGGUUUUGCUGUCACUUAUAGAUGGAUCCGCGCCGCAUUAGCUAGUUGGUAAGGUAACGGCUUACCAAGGCAACGAUGCGUAGCCGACCUGAGAGGGUGAUCGGCCACACUGGAACUGAGGCACGGUCCAGACUCCUACGGGAGGCAGCAGUAGGGAAUCUUCCGCAAUGGGCGAAAGCCUGACGGAGCAACGCCGCGUGAGUGAUGAAGGUCUUCGGAUCGUAAAACUCUGUUAUUAGGGAAGAACAAAUGUGUAAGUAACUAUGCACGUCUUGACGGUACCUAAUCAGAAAGCCACGGCUAACUACGUG
rnacentral:rRNA from 1 species